rnacentral:lncRNA from 1 species
CUUGAACUUGGGAGGCAGAGGUUGCAGUGAGCCGGGAUCGCACCACUGUACUCCAGGCUGGCAACAGAACGAGACUCUGUCUAAAAUAAAUAAACAAACAAACUGAGGUAGGUCUCUCAUCGCCAUUUUACUAAUGAGGGAACUGAGGCAUAAAGUUAUGACUUUAUGCCAGAAAUCACUGUAGAAGUGACUGUAGAAGGCAUUGAAGGUACAGUUAUCAACAAAAUGGAUGUGGGCUUCUGCUACCUUGGCAGCACUCACAGACUUCCUGAAAGUCAGAAAAUCAAAUAAUCCUUAAAGUGUGAUUAAAGUUAUGAUAGAGGAGGCAAAGCCUGCCAUCGUACCUCCUAGUUAGGGCCCCUCUAAUGGGUGAAAAGAUGCUUUUUUUUUUUUUUGAGACAGAGUCUCACACUGUCGCCCAGGCUGGAGUGCAAUGGCGCAAUCUUGGCUCACUGCAACCUCCACCUCCCGG